rnacentral:rRNA from 1 species
ACGCUAGCUACAGGCUUAACACAUGCAAGUCGAGGGGCAGCAUGGUCUUAGCUUGCUAAGGCCGAUGGCGACCGGCGCACGGGUGAGUAACACGUAUCCAACCUGCCGUCUACUCUUGGACAGCCUUCUGAAAGGAAGAUUAAUACAAGAUGGCAUCAUGAGUCCGCAUGUUCACAUGAUUAAAGGUAUUCCGGUAGACGAUGGGGAUGCGUUCCAUUAGAUAGUAGGCGGGGUAACGGCCCACCUAGUCUUCGAUGGAUAGGGGUUCUGAGAGGAAGGUCCCCCACAUUGGAACUGAGACACGGUCCAAACUCCUACGGGAGGCAGCAGUGAGGAAUAUUGGUCAAUGGGCGAGAGCCUGAACCAGCCAAGUAGCGUGAAGGAUGACUGCCCUAUGGGUUGUAAACUUCUUUUAUAAAGGAAUUAAGUCGGGUAUGGAUACCCGUUUGCAUGUACUUUAUGAAUAAGGAUCGGCUAACUCCGUGCCAGCAGCCGCGGUAAUACGGAGGAUCCGAGCGUUAUCCGGAUUUAUUGGGUUUAAAGGGAGCGUAGAUGGAUGUUUAAGUCAGUUGUGAAAGUUUGCGGCUCAACCGUAAAAUUGCAGUUGAUACUGGAUAUCUUGAGUGCAGUUGAGGCAGGCGGAAUUCGUGGUGUAGCGGUGAAAUGCUUAGAUAUCACGAAGAACUCCGAUUGCGAAGGCAGCCUGCUAAGCUGCAACUGACAUUGAGGCUCGAAAGUGUGGGUAUCAAACAGGAUUAGAUACCCUGGUAGUCCACACGGUAAACGAUGAAUACUCGCUGUUUGCGAUAUACUGCAAGCGGCCAAGCGAAAGCGUUAAGUAUUCCACCUGGGGAGUACGCCGGCAACGGUGAAACUCAAAGGAAUUGACGGGGGCCCGCACAAGCGGAGGAACAUGUGGUUUAAUUCGAUGAUACGCGAGGAACCUUACCCGGGCUUAAAUUGCAGAUGAAUUACGGUGAAAGCCGUAAGCCGCAAGGCAUCUGUGAAGGUGCUGCAUGGUUGUCGUCAGCUCGUGCCGUGAGGUGUCGGCUUAAGUGCCAUAACGAGCGCAACCCUUGUUGUCAGUUACUAACAGGUUCCGCUGAGGACUCUGACAAGACUGCCAUCGUAAGAUGUGAGGAAGGUGGGGAUGACGUCAAAUCAGCACGGCCCUUACGUCCGGGGCUACACACGUGUUACAAUGGGGGGUACAGAGGGCCGCUACCACGCGAGUGGAUGCCAAUCCCCAAAACCUCUCUCAGUUCGGACUGGAGUCUGCAACCCGACUCCACGAAGCUGGAUUCGCUAGUAAUCGCGCAUCAGCCACGGCGCGGUGAAUACGUUCCCGGGCCUUGUACACACCGCCCGUCAAGCCAUGGGAGCCGGGGGUACCUGAAGUGCGUAACCGCGAGGAGCGCCCUAGGGUAAAACUGGUGACUGGGGC